GUCGGCUUAUAAACUAUCACGACGCCCAAAAAGUCGUGGAUUGGAUGUUGUGCCAGCUGGCGUGAUUUCCCCUGUGUUUUUAAUUUGUCUCGCCCCAUGGGAUAAAUUGACAUUUGGGGUGCCAGAUCUAUGGCUCCAUCCCAAUGUAUCCGGCUGCAGCCAUAUCUAAAUCUAAUGCAAUAGAUUGAAUUGCUGCGUUGGAUUAUGCUCGAGUCGUGGCUCAAUGUAUUGAAACACGCUUGUUGCCAUAAUCUAACGUUUCAAUUGAUUCUUUGUACAUUGGAUAGAAUAUAUAUAUAAAGAUAUUGGUUUUGUGGCUGAUGAGAGAUUUAUUAAUCUCUAUAUAUAUAUAGGGUAUUAAAUGAAUAAAUGGAUAAUAUAAAAUUCUAUGCCCUAUAUAUAUUAUUAUGACCCUGACCUCGGAUCAGACGUGAUUACCCGCUGAACUUAAGCAUAUCACUAAGCGGAGGAAAAGAAACUAACCAGGAUUCCCCCAGUAACGGCGAGUGAACGGGGAUUAGCCCAGCACCGAAGCCUGUGACCAAUUGGUUACUAGGCAAUGUGGUGUUUAGGUCAUCUCUUGGCAUUGUUGCUCCACCCUAAGUCCAGCAAUGAGUACGGCUUACUGGAAUGGCCCACAGAGGGUGAAAGGCCCGUGGG
rnacentral:rRNA from 1 species